rnacentral:rRNA from 1 species
GGUUAAGCGACUAAGCGUACACGGUGGAUGCCCUGGCAGUCAGAGGCGAUGAAGGGCGUGCUAAUCUGCGAUAAGCGCCGGUAAGGUGAUAUGAACCGUUAUAACCGGCGAUACCCGAAUGGGGAAACCCAGUGUGACUCGUCACACUAUCAUUAACUGAAUCCAUAGGUUAAUGAGGCGAACCGGGGGAACUGAAACAUCUAAGUACCCCGAGGAAAAGAAAUCAACCGAGAUUCCCCCAGUAGCGGCGAGCGAACGGGGAGGAGCCCAGAGCCUGAAUCAGCAUGUGUGUUAGUGGAAGCGUCUGGAAAGGCGCGCGAUACAGGGUGACAGCCCCGUACACAAAAGCGCAUGUGCUGUGAGCUCGAUGAGUAGGGCGGGACACGUGGUAUCCUGUCUGAAUAUGGGGGGACCAUCCUCCAAGGCUAAAUACUCCUGACUGACCGAUAGUGAACCAGUACCGUGAGGGAAAGGCGAAAAGAACCCCGGCGAGGGGAGUGAAAAAGAACCUGAAACCGUGUACGUACAAGCAGUGGGAGCACCCUUUGGGGUGUGACUGCGUACCUUUUGUAUAAUGGGUCAGCGACUUAUAUUCUGUAGCAAGGUUAACCGUAUAGGGGAGCCGGAGGGAAACCGAGUCUUAACCGGGCGUUAAGUUGCAGGGUAUAGACCCGAAACCCGGUGAUCUAGCCAUGGGCAGGUUGAAGGUUGGGUAACACUAACUGGAGGACCGAACCGACUAAUGUUGAAAAAUUAGCGGAUGACCUGUGGCUGGGGGUGAAAGGCCAAUCAAACCGGGAGAUAGCUGGUUCUCCCCGAAAGCUAUUUAGGUAGCGCCUCGUGAAUUCAUCUCCGGGGGUAGAGCACUGUUUCGGCUAGGGGGCCAUCCCGGCUUACCAACCCGAUGCAAACUACGAAUACCGGAGAAUGUUAUCACGGGAGACACACGGCGGGUGCUAACGUCCGUCGUGAAGAGGGAAACAACCCAGACCGCCAGCUAAGGUCCCAAAGUCAUGGUUAAGUGGGAAACGAUGUGGGAAGGCCCAGACAGCCAGGAUGUUGGCUUAGAAGCAGCCAUCAUUUAAAGAAAGCGUAAUAGCUCACUGGUCGAGUCGGCCUGCGCGGAAGAUGUAACGGGGCUAAACCAUGCACCGAAGCUGCGGCAGCGAACGUAUCACUUAAAGCGAUUCAGCGGGUUACGAUUGACGGAGCGAAGCGACGUCAAAGCGUAUACAAAGUCGAGUCGGUUUAAGGAUACGUUCGUUGGGUAGGGGAGCGUUCUGUAAGCCUGUGAAGGUGGCCUGUGAGGGUUGCUGGAGGUAUCAGAAGUGCGAAUGCUGACAUAAGUAACGAUAAAGCGGGUGAAAAGCCCGCUCGCCGGAAGACCAAGGGUUCCUGUCCAACGUUAAUCGGGGCAGGGUGAGUCGACCCCUAAGGCGAGGCCGAAAGGCGUAGUCGAUGGGAAACGGGUUAAUAUUCCCGUACUUGGUGUUACUGCGAAGGGGGGACGGAGAAGGCUAUGUUGGCCGGGCGACGGUUGUCCCGGUUUAAGCGUGUAGGUGUGUGUUCCAGGUAAAUCCGGUUCACUUUAACACUGAGGCGUGACGACGAGGCACUACGGUGCUGAAGCAACAAAUGCCCUGCUUCCAGGAAAAGCCUCUAAGCAUCAGGUAACAUCAAAUCGUACCCCAAACCGACACAGGUGGUCAGGUAGAGAAUACCAAGGCGCUUGAGAGAACUCGGGUGAAGGAACUAGGCAAAAUGGUGCCGUAACUUCGGGAGAAGGCACGCUGACACGUAGGUGAAGUGAUUUACUCACGGAGCUGAAGUCAGUCGAAGAUACCAGCUGGCUGCAACUGUUUAUUAAAAACACAGCACUGUGCAAACACGAAAGUGGACGUAUACGGUGUGACGCCUGCCCGGUGCCGGAAGGUUAAUUGAUGGGGUCAGCGCAAGCGAAGCUCCUGAUCGAAGCCCCGGUAAACGGCGGCCGUAACUAUAACGGUCCUAAGGUAGCGAAAUUCCUUGUCGGGUAAGUUCCGACCUGCACGAAUGGCGUAAUGAUGGCCAGGCUGUCUCCACCCGAGACUCAGUGAAAUUGAACUCGCUGUGAAGAUGCAGUGUACCCGCGGCAAGACGGAAAGACCCCGUGAACCUUUACUAUAGCUUGACACUGAACAUUGAGCCUUGAUGUGUAGGAUAGGUGGGAGGCUUUGAAGUGUGGACGCCAGUCUGCAUGGAGCCGGCCUUGAAAUACCACCCUUUAAUGUUUGAUGUUCUAACGUGGACCCGUUACCCGGGUUGCGGACAGUGUCUGGUGGGUAGUUUGACUGGGGCGGUCUCCUCCUAAAGAGUAACGGAGGAGCACGAAGGUUGGCUAAUCCUGGUCGGACAUCAGGAGGUUAGUGCAAUGGCAUAAGCCAGCUUGACUGCGAGCGUGACGGCGCGAGCAGGUGCGAAAGCAGGUCAUAGUGAUCCGGUGGUUCUGAAUGGAAGGGCCAUCGCUCAACGGAUAAAAGGUACUCCGGGGAUAACAGGCUGAUACCGCCCAAGAGUUCAUAUCGACGGCGGUGUUUGGCACCUCGAUGUCGGCUCAUCACAUCCUGGGGCUGAAGUAGGUCCCAAGGGUAUGGCUGUUCGCCAUUUAAAGUGGUACGCGAGCUGGGUUUAGAACGUCGUGAGACAGUUCGGUCCCUAUCUGCCGUGGGCGCUGGAGAACUGAGGGGGGCUGCUCCUAGUACGAGAGGACCGGAGUGGACGCAUCACUGGUGUUCGGGUUGUCAUGCCAAUGGCACUGCCCGGUAGCUAAAUGCGGAAGAGAUAAGUGCUGAAAGCAUCUAAGCACGAAACUUGCCCCGAGAUGAGUUCUCCCUGAGGCUUUAGGUCUCCUGAAGGAACGUUGAAGACGACGACGUUGAUAGGCCGGGUGUGUAAGCGCAGCGAUGCGUUGAGCUAACCGGUACUAAUGAACCGUGAGGCUUAACCUU